CUCCUCUCCUCCAGCCCUGGAGGCCUCUACAUCCACCUGGGGGUGAGGGCAGCAACCAAGGAGACCGUGUGUUCCAGUGCCAGUAGCUACAAGAUGGCAGAGCCUCCUUCAGCCCGGAUGGCAGAGUUGCUGCUUGGAGGAUAGUGGUGCUGGCAAGUUGGUCAGCGUGUAGCAGAACUUGGGAGAGGGACGAUAACAACCUGAGUGGAGGCAGUGUGUACUAGGCUGCCUAGAGAAAUACCUGAGACUAGGUAAUUUAUAAGAAAAGGGGUUUAAUUGGUUCAUGGUUCUGCAGGCUGUACAGGAGGCACAGCAGCAUAUGUUUCUAGGGGGGCCUCAGGAAGCUUCUAAGCAUGGCAGAAGGCAAAGAGGGAGCAGGCCCACCACACGGCGAGAAUGGAAGCAAGAAAGAGAGCAUGGUGUGGCGGGGAGGUGCCACACACUUUUAAGUGACCAGAUCUUGUGAGGACUCACUCAAUUAUCACAAGGACAGUACCAAGAGGAUGGUGCUAAACCAUCCCCACGAUACAAUCACCUCCCAUCAGGUCCCACCUCCAAUACUGGAAAUCACAUUUCAACAUGAGAUGUAGGUGGGGACAAAUAUUCAGACUAUAUUACAGUGGCAGUGAGGAUAGAGGGGGAGGGGGCCAGGAUCGAAAACUGUUUAGGAAGUAGGACUUAAUAGCAGAAUAACCCAGGGGUUAAGGAUGAGACAGGAGGCUGGGAUGAGUCCCUGGAUGGGUGCCUGGGUGACCUAGAGAACACGGAAGAUGAGGCUGCAAGGCUGGAGGAGAGAUGAUGAAUUCGGCAUGGGCAUGUGAAAUUUGAAGAGUGUGUUGGAACCAUCUCAUAGGUGUUUGGAUCUAUGAGUCAGGCACCCAGAAAAGUGGUCUGUGUUGUUUAUAUAAACUGGGGAGUCCAUGAGAGGCAGAUGAUAUUGGAAGCCAUGGUAGUUGCUGAGAUGACCCAGGAAGAGGGGCAGAAGCAGAAGGAAGAGAGCAGAGAGCCUCCCAGCAUUAAAAGGGGCAGGUAAAGAUGUCCUCAAGGAAGACUGAGAAGGAGUAGCUAGGGUGUUAUGAGAAGAGCAGGAAAGAAUAUGGUAUAAGACAGGCUUCUCUGAGUUCAACAUAUACAACAUAUACAAAUUGCCUGGGGGUUUGUGAAAAUGCAGAUUCUGGCUCAACUGGUCUGGGACAGAGCACAAGAUUCUGCACUUCCAUAAGGCUCCCAGGUGAUGUCGAUGCUACUGGUCUGCAGAUCACACUUUGAGUAGCAAAGAUGUAGGAGAAAU
rnacentral:lncRNA from 10 species